rnacentral:rRNA from 1 species
UACGUAGGGGGCGAGCGUUGUCCGAAGUUACUGGGCGUAAAGCGCGCGUAGGCGGCUUUUAAGUUUGAGGUGAAAGGUUCAGCGCUCAACGUGAACAGUGCCUUGAAUACUGGGAAGCUUGAAUGUGACAGAGGGUCGUGGAAUUUCUGGUGUAGCGGUGAAAUGCGUAGAUAUCAGAAGGAACACCAAUGGCGAAGGCAGCGACCUGGGUUAACAUUGACGCUGAGGUGCGAAAGCGUGGGGAGCGAACGGG